rfam:Schistosoma rodhaini strain Burundi genome assembly, scaffold: SROB_scaffold0008070
UGACGAGUCCCAAAUAGGACGAAACGCGCGUC